AUGCAGAGUCCUCAACCUUUUUGCAUCGAAGAAAUAGCGCGGCGGCGGGCCGCAGCAGCAGUAUCUGAUAGCUGCAUGCCACUAGGCGGCCCUCCCUUCAUGCCUUGCAUCCAGCCGAGGCUUGGCCGGGUGUGUCGUCCCAGCGGCACGGCGUGGCCAUGGGCGAGAUCGCCGGCCAUGAGGGCGUGGCCAUGGACGAGAUCGCCGGUCACAAGGACGAGCAAAAGCACAGUCAUGAGCGCUGUUUUGGAUGCCAUUAUUCUUGCCGUCUCUGCUCCUCUUUUGCUAGCUGCUGGAUCUACCCCAAACACCAGUAGUCUGCACUGCACUGCACAUUGCCGGGGAGUGCAGAUAUAUAGCACAAGUGUUGAUCGGUGCAUGAUUACUGCUACUAGUCUGCAGACUCAUAGUCGUAGGUUAGGCCUUUGA
rnacentral:rRNA from 1 species